UACGUAGGGUGCGAGCGUUGUCCGGAAUUAUUGGGCGUAAAGAGCUCGUAGGCGGCUUGUCACGUCGGUUGUGAAAGCCCGGGGCUUAACCCCGGGUCUGCAGUCGAUACGGGCAGGCUAGAGUGUGGUAGGGGAGAUCGGAAUUCCUGGUGUAGCGGUGAAAUGCGCAGAUAUCAGGAGGAACACCGGUGGCGAAGGCGGAUCUCUGGGCCAUUACUGACGCUGAGGUGCGAAAGCGUGGGGAGCAAACAGG
rnacentral:rRNA from 1 species